rnacentral:misc_RNA from 1 species
GAUGAAGAACGUAGCGAAAUGCGAUAAGUAGUGUGAAUUGCAGAAUUCAGUGAAUCAUCGAAUCUUUGCACGCACAUUGCGCCCCAUGGUAUUCCGUGGGGCAUGCCUGUUCGAGCGUCAUUUACCCCCUCAAGCUCCGCUUGGUGUUGGGCGUCUGUCCCGCUUCGCGCGCGGACUCGCCCCAAAGGUAUUGGCAGCGGUCGUGCCAGCUUCUCGCGCAGCACAUUGCGCUUCUCGAGGCACCGGUGGGCCCGCGUCCAUCAAGCUCACCCCCCCAGUUUGACCUCGGAUCAGGUAGGGAUACCCGCUGAACUUAAGCAUAUCAAUAAGCGGAGGA